GACAGAGGGUGCAAACGUUGUUCGGAAUUACUGGGCGUAAAGCGCGUGUAGGCGGCAAUACAAGUCGGAUGUGAAAUCCCGCGGCUUAACCGUGGAAGUGCACCCGAAACUGUAUCGCUAGAGUCCCGGAGAGGAUGGUGGAAUACUUGGUGUAGAGGUGAAAUUCGUAGAUAUCAAGUGGAACACCGGUGGCGAAGGCGGCCAUCUGGACGGUGACUGACGCUGAGGUGCGAAAGCGUGGGGAGCAAACAGG
rnacentral:rRNA from 1 species